GAUAUCUGGGAUGUUUUCAAGACCAAAACAAUCGUAUCUUGGCCGAGAAGCAUACACAUACCCAAUCCAUGACUGUGGAAUACUGCAGGAACUAUUGUGCGAAAUACCAGUUUUACGGUGUAGAGUAUUCCUCUUGGUGUUUCUGUGGAAACUCUCUUACCACGAAUGUCAGGAAACCAGAAGGAGAAUGCAACAUGAAAUGCAGCGGAAAUAACAGGCAAAUUUGUGGAGAAUUAACAUUUAUAGAAUGCCAGCUUAAAUAUAAAAUGUUAUUCCAAGGAAGUUAGAUUCACUGCUAAUAAUGUGCAAAUAAAUCUUCGUUUCGGACACUGGCUACUAUUGACACCUGUGAACUCUCUGGUUAAAUGAAUAUAUAUUUUGAA